rnacentral:rRNA from 1 species
UGGUGAGGUAACGGCUCACCAAGGCGAAGACGGGUAGGGGGUGUGAGAGCACGGCCCCCCACAAUGGGACUGAGACACGGCCCAUACUCCUACGGGAGGCAGAGCAGGGAAUAUGCCAAUGGACGGAAGUCUGAUGCAGCGACGCCGCGUGGAUGAUGAAGGCCUUCGGGUUGUAAAAUCCUUUACGGGGUGACGAGGAAGGACGGUAGCCCCGGAACAAGCGUCGGCUAACUACGUGCCAGCAGCCGCGGUAAGACGUAGGACGCAAGCGUUAUCCGGAUUUACUGGGCGUAAAGCGUCUGUAGGCGGAUGAGUAAGUUGGGCGUGAAAGCUCCGGGCUCAACCCGGAGAGGCCGUUCAAUACUGCUGAUCUAGAGGAGGCCAGAGGGGAGUGGAAUUCCUGGAAGUAGCGGUAAAAUGCGCAGAUAUCAGGAAGAACACCAGUGGCGAAGGCGGUCCCUAGGCCCACCUGACGCUGAGAGACGACAGCUAGGGGAGCGAACAGGAUUAGAGACCCUGGUAGUCCUAGCCGUAAACGAUGGAUGCUAGGUGUAGGCCCGUAGAGGCUCUGUGCCGGAGCGAACGCGAUAAGCAUCCCGCCUGGGGAGUACGGCCGCAAGGCUAAAACUCAAACGAAUUGACGGGGACCCGCACAAGCAGCGGAGCGUGUGGUUUAAUUCGAUGCUACACGAAGAACCUUACCUGGGUUUGACAUGGGCGUGGUAGUGAAGCGAAAGCGGAGCGACCCUUCGGGGAGCGUCCACAGGUGCUGCAUGGCUGUCGUCAGCUCGUGCCGUGAGGUGUCGGGUUAAGUCCCGUAACGAGCGCAACCCUUGCCCUUAGUUACAAGUGUCUAAGGGGACUGCCGGCGGGAAGCCGGAGGAAGGUGGGGAUGACGUCAAGUCAGCAUGGCCCUUAUAUCCAGGGCUACACACACGCUACAAUGGCCGGUACAGAGGGCAGCGAAGCCGCGAGGUGGAGCGAAUCCCAGAA